rnacentral:lncRNA from 1 species
AGUUACAAGUUUGAUACAGAUCAUGCUUCAAAGUAAAAAGUUGAAGCUAUAAAGUUUACAUAAGAGAGCUUACUUUCAACACUUCUUACAACUGACAAAAACACCUCAGGGACAUGGCAAUUGAGAAGCAGCAAAUCUUGAUAAUGGUUAUUUUCCACGAGGUGGGAAUGUUUUCGAUUAACAGGGAAGAACUGCACAGUUGUGUGCUGUUUUAGUGGUUGGAGUAUGACAUAAAGUGACAACCGUAAGUUCAAAGUGUCUGGCUGUUUACAGGAAUGCCACCUCCA